AUGUGGUUUGGGCUUCGAUGGGCCAGAGCAGGCCCAGGAAGACGAGGAAUCGGUUAUUUGUUCCCCUUCGUGCACCUCCUCCUGCCCAGCCCAGAUCCCCAACUCCGGCCAAAAUGGACGGCGAUACGCCGCACCCGCCGCCGGCGGAAUCCAGGGCGCUCGACGACGACGGACUCCUCGCCAAGAUCCUCCUCCGCGCCGCCAAAAUGGAGUCCGAAACGCCGUUGCCGCCGCCGCCGGCGUCGGUAUCCAAGGUGUUCGACGACGACGACCUGCUCGCCGAGAUCCUCCUCCGCGUCGGCCUCCCCACCACGCUCGUCCGCGCGGCCUCCGUCUGCCGGCGCUGGCUCCACCGCGCCUCCCGCCACGAGCUCCUCCGCCGGUUCCGCGAGCGGAACCCGCGGCGCCUCCUCGGGUUCUACAUCGUCGAGGUGGACUGUUCGGCGGCGCCGACCGUCCCGCGGUUCGUGCCAGUUCCGCCUCAGCCGCCGGAGCCCGGAGCUCGCCGCGGUGGUGCGCCGCGCGGCCUCCAGCCUGGGCGCCUACAUGAGAGAGCACGGCGCGCCGAGCUCCAUCAUGGACUGCCGGAACGGCAGUCUGCUCAUGAGGCACGAGCGCCACGACCACGACCAAACCCGGUCGACGCUCCGGGCGCAUAGCCUGCUGUGCCCCCAGAAAGGCAGCGUCGUCUUCCCCGGGUUCCCAGUCCCCCGGCUCCGGUUCGGCUCUUCCUACACAUACACUCAAGUCCUGUCCAAGGAAGAAGGCGACGGCGUGUCCUACUUCUACGUGUCGAUGCAGUCUACCGUGGACAGGAAACAUACGGCGUAUGUCUAUAUGUUGCAAGAUGGUGUUUGGGUUAUCCAUAGCUUGACCAUUGGCCAGAUCCCUCCUCCACGGCCGGAUUUGGAAGCCGUGCUUGUCGACAAUAAGAUCUAUAUGCCAGCCGCCAAGAGCGACGUUGUUGUUUUGGAUUUGACCGACUCGACAUUCUCGACGAUUCAGCUCCCACAAGGGGUCGAGCACGUCGCGAGAAACACCAUCUUGUCACGGGUAGACGAUUCUGCUGGUGUAUACCUCGUCCAUUUGAAAGAGCUUGAACUCCGGAUCUGGCUCCAUAAGGGGGACGAUUGGUUGCUGGUCCACAACAUUUGUCUGCGUGGCAAGUUUGCUGGUUUGAGUAUGCUAGAUGGCAAUGCUUUUCUCCAAAUAAAACAGGUGGGGGACAAUGCCGAGUAUGUGUUGCUGGAGAUGAUGUGUCAAUGCGCACUCUACUUGGAUAUCAAGUGCAGGACACUGCAUACAGUGUAUGAGGUGACAAACGAGGAUCGAUAUUUGGGCGAUAUACAUCCUUUCAUGAUGAUAUGGCCUCCAAAGUUCCCUGCGCUCAAGGAUGAUCCUGCAACGGCAAGAAAUGCCAUGUGA
rnacentral:rRNA from 1 species